ensembl:lncRNA
AGCAGACAGCGCGGGCGGGGAGCGCGGGCCAGGGCGGCCCUCGCGCGCCUGGCUGCCAGCCCGCAGGGGGCUCGCACGCAGACCUGCCCUUGCCACCUCAGCCCUAGGGUGCGGGCUGGGGCGGUGGAGCCAGGGAAGGUGGUGCGGAGAGCCGAGCGCAGGACUGCGCAGGAGCCCCGGCGCAACGCUGUGCGCACAGACCCAGGAUUUGUGAAGAGGUGACCCAAAUUUCCAGACAAAGUUGGAUGCAAACCGAUUUGCCAGCAAUUGCGUCACUGUCAAAACCAGCUCUGCCCGUGUCUUCCGAAGAUACCAAGUGAAAUACGUAUAGAUGUGAUUUACAUCUGAGAAACCAAGGGGCCAAUGUGGGUUGUGGAGUGAAGCAGGAAGCUCUGCAGAGUUCCUUGGUCAAAAGGAUGAAUUACAAAAGAACCCCACGAACACCAAGAAGAAGAGAAGGGAAUCCUGGGUAUUUAAAGCCACAAAGAAACUUGAUAUGGUCUUGUCUCCUUCUCUCAACUGACAGUGAGAAACUGAAGACCAGAGAGGGAAGAUACAUCCAAAAAGGAAGUGAUUGCGCCACUGCACCCCAGCCUGGGUGAGAAAUUCACUGGCAGUGUCAGUCGCUGUCUCCCUGCACUUCAUCCGUCUGAUAUCCCAGUACCUAGUGCUGUACUAGGCACACACUGUACUUCAAAAGGAAGCAUUAGUCUGCAUUAAUUAUCACCAGUGCAUUCGUCUGUGUAUUGUCUGUUCAUUCAACAAAUAUUUAGUAAGAACCAGGCAUUGAACUCGUGGUUAACGAGGAGCUUCCAUUCUGGUUGGAAGAGGCAGAAGGUAAGCAACAUGAAUGGGCAAGUCCACGGAAAGAUGGUUUCAAAUAGAGCUAAGUGCAAUGAAGACGGUAAACCAGGUAAGGAGAUAGAGAAUGAUGGCAGGAGGGACACACCUGACCUGGUGCCAUUUGAGCCAAGGCUUGCAUCGUAAAGAGUCAGACAGGAAACAAUCCAGAAGAAGAGUGUUCUAGACAGAAAGCAUAGCGCAUGCAAAGGCCCUGAGGUCACAGCAAUGUGAUGUCUUCCAGGAUCUGGGAGGAAGCCAGUAUAGCUGGGACUGGGGGAGUAGAAAUCUGAGAAAGCAGAGAGGAUGGAAAGCGAGGGUGGAAAGAGUAGGCAGGGGCUGUGGUGAUCUUGCCAGCCUAGUGAGCCUGGAAAAGCAUGCAUUCUAUUCUAAAUGGGAUGGUUAAGCAUUGAAGGUUUUUAAUGAGAAUGACAUGCUCUGUUGGUGGUUUAGACCAUGUCUGCAAACUCUCUGAUGCUUCUUCUCUGGAAGAUGAGGUCUAGGACUCCUCCCCUGGAGUUGGGCAGGCCUAUGAGAUCGUUUGGAUGGCUUGACUCUGUGACUGUCCAGGUUAGGUGAGUAGAGAAGCUUCUGCCUGGGCCCUGUCUCAGGAUGCACGCUUUAGGAGCUGCGUUGUAAGGAGUCCUUGUAAGGAGUCCAGCUACCCUGGACUCCUUGUAGAGAGGCCACAGAAAGUCAUUCAGAGGCUCAACUGGGCUGAAGGUGCAAGGUUUCUUGCUCAUGUGGCCAUCAGUGGUGCUUGCUGCUAUUGGGAGCUCCACUGGACUGUUGACCAGAGCUCCUCAGCUCACCUCUGUGUAUCCUUGCCAUGUGGCUAAGGCUUCUAACAACACAGAGGCUGGAUUCCAAGAGGAGGGAAGUAGAAGCUUUCAGCCUUCUUAAGACCAGGAUUCAGAUGUCCCAGACUGUCAUUGUAUUGACCGGAGCAUUUACAGGCCAGCCCAGUAAUUUUUCCAUCUCUGGGCAAGAACAGGUAGCAUAUGCCGAGGGUAGGGGUAGCAUUGUUGGGGACCAUCUUUGGAGCAGUGUGCCAAGGAGUAAAUUGCUGGGCUGCUUUCUACCUGGGGAAGUUCACUGUGCUUGCUUGUGGAGAGUGGAUUGUGUGCUCAGAGUCCACCAGGAUUUAAGAAUCAGCUCCCAGCCCUCCUCCCCUUGCCUCAGCCCGUGCAUUAGGGCCCUGUGGUGAGAGCACUGAGCCAUUGUGAAUCAAGGCCUCUCCCUCAACCUGCAUACUGACAGGCGAGAGGAGCUUUCUUGAUUUUGGUCCUAGGCUUCUGCCUGUGGGUUGGAUUCCAGGGGCACUCCGUCCUCCACAAACCAGUGACAGGUGCAGCCCCUCCAUGCAAGCUGUCCACACUUCACCCUAAAGACAGAUCCUGCUGUUCAGCAGCAAUGUGAGUGGCCCACACAUUUGCCCAGCAUGAAACCGUUUUCAAAUUCCUUUCCAAUACACAGUCCCAUCAGCCAGUCACAUCACGAUGACAGCUCCUCGAAACACCUUUUGGUUUGCAGUUGCGUAGCUUAGAAGUAGGAGCCUGCACAACUUCAGGACUUCACAGAAAGAACACACUUUGUGCUUCGAGAAGUUAAUUAUGGGAAUAUCUUGCAACCUGCUGCUCUGAGCCUGUGCACCUGGGGUGUUUCCCCGGAGGUCCUGUGUAUGCGGAUACUCAUCAGCAUGGGGUUUGGGGAAGCCUAGCACUGGAGGCAACCUAGGUGGUGCUCUCCAGGGGAGUGGGUAAGAGCCCUGCAGUGUAUGCAUAUGAGGGGAUCCUAGGCAGCAGUGAAAAGCAUUGAAGGGAAAGCAUGUUGAGCAGUGCUCUGAAUCUGAUCAGAGCAACCUGAACACAUUUUAAACACAGGGCAUCUAGAACUAGGGUAGAGGCACUAGAGCACCAUAGACACAAACUCACAUUCUGAAGGUAAAUGUCCAAGUUCCAAUCCAAGCCCCCUCGCCAACUGACCACGACUCCCCCAAGUUACCUGACCUCUGUGUUUACAUCCUUAAAGUUAAGUAGUCAGGAAAGGGGGCUUGGGGCUUGCUACAUGAAUGGUUGCCACUCUCCUUUGCAAAGUGUAGUCCCCAAAAACAGGUGGAAGAGGGAAGGGUCCAAUCAGAAGGCCGAGUACCAGCUGCCGUGAAUAUGCCAGAGCUGCUGGCUAGUGAUAUAUAACUCAAAUCCGGUGGAACAGCAGAGCUAGGGUGACCUUACAUUCUAGGAAAGAAAAGAUGCUUGUUGUCCUGGCUUUUUAUCCAGCUUAAACAAAGAUGGGCAAAGAAAAUAAUUUAGAAAAUAGUAGAGAUGAGCACAGAGAAAGGGCACAGAUGGAAGCACAAACAGAAGGCCAAGUGAUGGUGGAGGCAGACACUGGAGAAAUGCCUUUGCAAGCCAGGGAAUGCCAAGGAUGCUGGUGACCCCGGGAGCGGGAUGAACCUGGAACACGCUCUCCCUCAGAGUCUCCAGAAGGAACCGGCCCUGCAUCACCUUUGGGACUUCUGGCCCCCAGAACUACACAAGAAAACGUUUCUGCUAUUGGAGGCCAUCCAGCUGGUGGUCAUUUGUUAUGGUCACCACAGAAAAAAAUAUAGAUUUAGGCAUCUAAUUUGCAUAUAUAGAUGUGCAUGUGUAUUUGUUAAAUAAAACACAAGGCAUAAUAAC